AUGCGCCACAUUCUAAUUUUUAAAUCGCGAAUUAAUCGCAUAAUCAUGAUUUUAUUUUUAUAAAAUUACUGAGGACCCCUUCCAUUGACAUGAUUGCACGGAACCACAAGCCGGCUUCUUUUCUGGAAUGGGUCCUCAGAUUUGGAGGUUAACGUUCGAAGACAGAGCAGAGCUGAUGCUUCCCGAGCCUGGACCGGUGGACAGGAGGCUGUGACGAUCGGUAUGGAAGAGCUCCCAUUCCGUGGCUGCAGCGGCCACCUCUCCUCAACUCGGUUAGACGUCCCCAAGGUCAGAGCGUUCCUCGU